rnacentral:rRNA from 1 species
UUGACCUCGGAUCAGGUAGGGAUACCCGCUGAACUUAAGCAUAUCAAUAAGCGGAGGAAAAGAAACCAACCGGGAUUGCCUCAGUAACGGCGAGUGAAGCGGCAAGAGCUCAAAUUUGAAAGCUGGCUCCUUCGGAGUCCGCAUUGUAAUUUGCAGAGGAUGCUUUGGGUGCGGCCCCCGUCUAAGUGCCCUGGAACGGGCCGUCAGAGAGGGUGAGAAUCCCGUCUUGGGCGGGGUGUCCGUGCCCGUGUAAAGCUCCUUCGACGAGUCGAGUUGUUUGGGAAUGCAGCUCUAAAUGGGUGGUAAAUUUCAUCUAAAGCUAAAUACUGGCCGGAGACCGAUAGCGCACAAGUAGAGUGAUCGAAAGAUGAAAAGCACUUUGAAAAGAGAGUUAAACAGCACGUGAAAUUGUUGAAAGGGAAGCGCUUGCAACCAGACUCGCCCGCGGGGUUCAGCCGGCAUUCGUGCCGGUGUACUUCCCCGUGGGCGGGCCAGCGUCGGUUUGGGCGGCCGGUCAAAGGCCCCUGGAAUGUAGUGCCCUCCGGGGCACCUUAUAGCCAGGGGUGCAAUGCGGCCAGCCUAGACCGAGGAACGCGCUUCGGCUCGGACGCUGGCAUAAUGGUUGUAAACGACCCGUCUG